GACGAACGCUGGCGGCGUGCUUAACACAUGCAAGUCGAACGGAAAGGCCCUGCUUUUGUGGGGUGCUCGAGUGGCGAACGGGUGAGUAACACGUGAGUAACCUGCCCUUGACUUUGGGAUAACUUCAGGAAACUGGGGCUAAUACCGGAUAGGAGCUCCUGCUGCAUGGUGGGGGUUGGAAAGUUUCGGCGGUUGGGGAUGGACUCGCGGCUUAUCAGCUUGUUGGUGGGGUAGUGGCUUACCAAGGCUUUGACGGGUAGCCGGCCUGAGAGGGUGACCGGCCACAUUGGGACUGAGAUACGGCCCAGACUCCUACGGGAGGCAGCAGUGGGGAAUAUUGCACAAUGGGCGGAAGGCUGAUGCAGCAACGCCGCGGGCGGGAUGACGGCCUUCGGGUUGGAAACCGCUUUCGCCUGUGAAGAAGGGUGAGUGGAGGUAAUGGGUAAAGAAGCACCGGCUAAAUACGUG
rnacentral:rRNA from 1 species